rnacentral:misc_RNA from 1 species
GAUGAAGAACGCAGCGAAAUGCGAUACUUGGUGUGAAUUGCAGAAUCCCGUGAACCAACGAGUCUUUGAACGCAAGUUGCGCCCGAAGCCAUCAGGUUGAGGGCACGUCUGCCUGGGCGUCACAUAUCGUUGCCCAAUGCCUAUUGCAGUGCAAUAGGAAUUUCUAGGGCGAAUGAUGGCUUCCCGUGAGCGUUGUUGCCUCGCGGUUGGUUGAAAAUCGAGUCCUUGGUAGGGUGUGCCAUGGUAGAUGGUGGUCGAGUUAGAACGAUACCGAUCAUGUGCAUGCUCCCCAAAAUAUGGCCUCUAUGACCCACACGCGUCUUUUGACGCUCAUGACGAGACCUCAGGUCAGGCGGGGCUACCCGCUGAAUUUAAGCAUAUCAAUAAGCGGAGGA